rnacentral:rRNA from 1 species
UGGGGAAUAUUGCACAAUGGGCGCAAGCCUGAUGCAGCCAUGCCGCGUGUGUGAAGAAGGCCUUCGGGUUGUAAAGCACUUUCAGCGGGGAGGAAGGCGUUAAGGUUAAUAACCUUGGCGAUUGACGUUACCCGCAGAAGAAGCACCGGCUAACUCCGUGCCAGCAGCCGCGGUAAUACGGAGGGUGCAAGCGUUAAUCGGAAUUACUGGGCGUAAAGCGCACGCAGGCGGUCUGUCAAGUCGGAUGUGAAAUCCCCGGGCUCAACCUGGGAACUGCAUUCGAAACUGGCAGGCUAGAGUCUUGUAGAGGGGGGUAGAAUUCCAGGUGUAGCGGUGAAAUGCGUAGAGAUCUGGAGGACUACCGGUGGCGAAGGCGGCCCCCUGGACAAAGACUGACGCUCAGGUGCGAAAGCGUGGGGAGCAAACAGG